rnacentral:rRNA from 1 species
UACGGAGGAUCCGAGCGUUAUCCUGAUUUAUUGGGUUUAAAGGGUGCGCAGGCGGGGGAUUAAGUCGGCGGUGAAAUUUUGCAGCUCAACUGUAAAAGUGCCUUCGAAACUGGUUUCCUUGAGUGUGGAUGAAGUAGGCGGAAUUUGUGGUGUAGCGGUGAAAUGCAUAGAUAUCACGAGGAACUCCGAUUGCGCAGGCAGCUUACUAGGCCAUAACUGACGCUCAGGCACGAAGGCGUGGGGAUCAAACAGGAUUAGAUACCCCUGUA